AUUGGAUUUUACAUAUAAAUGUGACAGAACGACUCUGGGGAAUAAAAAUAAUAGCAUACAAAUGCAAAAACAUAUAAAUGAAAAACGUGCAAGUGGGAUGAUUUUACAUGCAAAAUCAAAAGAGUGUACAGAACACAAUGUACAAGGUCAAAAAAUGUAAAAGUGAGAAAUAUAUAAAUGGGGUUCUAUUGUAUAACAGUAUAAUCUUCUAAUGAGAAUACGUAACUAUCAGUGUAUUAUGUAGAGUUAUGCAAAAAAUUAGCAUAUAUUUAUGCUAGUAUGCAAAAAAUUAGCAUAUAUUUUUGCCCAAGGACGUAAAUAUGGUUUUACUGAUAAGCUAAUGCAAGGUGUAUGGCAUAAAGUUUGUAGACCUAUGCAGAAGACACCAGGGGUCACCCUCUAUGUACAACAAGACACUGGUGCCUGCCCUUUUGCAGACAUUAUGUACUAUGAUACCACAGACAAGAUCUUAAGUAGGGUUUUGAGGGAGGGGAAGUAUAGAAUGGCCUGGAAAAGAGGCUCCACAAUAUUUAACUUCCUACGUAAUGAGAAAGACCAUAUCCCAAAGAAUAAGAAGUCUAGGGUAUACUCAGUUCCCCUAUAUAAUAAAGAUGAAGGGACAAUACAAUAUUAUGCUGAGAGCACUAAGAGAAACCUAGAUAAGAGGCUUAAAGAACACAAAGUUGACAAAGGCAGGAAGGUUGACCACAGCCUUGGCAAAUAAAGCGUAUGAGCAAGAUGUGAGGAUUGACUGGGGAGAGGUGACUAUACUAAAGUUUUAUAGAAGAUAAUUAAAUAUAAUUAUAAUAAAACCUAUAUAUUAUAGUAGAGGCCUUACUACUGUUGAAGCAAUUGAGUUGGAAAAGAUGGCAUGCCAUCAUAUUAUGAUCAAUGACGGUAGCCCUGUACUGCUACCUCCAUCAUGGAGAUGGUAUGCAGCUAAAUGUAGGUGACCAUUGGCUCCCCUUGACAAUAUAUAACAAGGUGAAUAAUACUGGGCUAUAUGAAGAUAGACCAACACUGUUUAUGACCUUGAUACCUGAAUGGAUACAUUUUAAUGAUAAAGAUAGUCUUAUAAUAAAGAUGCUGAUGUGAGAAGCCCUGUAACUAACAAUGCUU
rnacentral:lncRNA from 1 species